AACGAACGCUGGCGGCAUGCCUAACACAUGCAAGUCGAACGAGACCUUCGGGUCUAGUGGCUCACGGGUGCGUAACGCGUGGGAACCUGCCCUUAGGUUCGGAAUAACUCCCCGAAAGGGGUGCUAAUACCGGAUAAUGUCUUCGGACCAAAGAUUUAUCGCCUUUGGAUGGGCCCGCGUUGGAUUAGCUAGUUGGUAGGGUAAAAGCCUACCAAGGCGACGAUCCAUAGCUGGUGUGAGAGGAUGAUCAGCCACACUGGGACUGAGACACGGCCCAGACUCCUACGGGAGGCAGCAGUGGGGAAUAUUGGACAAUGGGCGAAAGCCUGAUCCAGCAAUGCCGCGUGAGUGAUGAAGGCCUUAGGGUUGUAAAGCUCUUUUACCCGGGAUGAUAAUGACAGUACCGGGAGAAUAAGCUCCGGCUAACUCCGUG
rnacentral:rRNA from 1 species